rnacentral:lncRNA from 1 species
GUCCCGGGGCACACCCUGCGCACGCGCGGACCCCCGCCCGGGCGCCGGGGAGCUCUGCGCGGAAACGACCCCUCGCCUCUGAGAGGGGUCGGACUGGGGCCUCCGCCUCAUCGCUGUUCGCCCCUUCUCGCUCGCGCGCACACCCAAGCACGCUCCCUGGCUUGCGCAAGAACUGGAGGAGUGAGCCUAGCUCGUGCCGAGGACUGGACUCGGCUGACUAGGAAGCAUUACAUCCUGAACUGACCUAAAACUAUGAAGAAAAAUUCCAGCAUCUUUUCUAACAAGAAAGAAAACAAUAUGUGCUUGUUUGUUCAAAUCACAGUUGUGUGAACCAGUCAUCAUGAUCAUGUUUCCCGCAUCAGCAUCAUUUAGAAAUUGUUAACAAGUCCAUACUCAAUGCAAAACAAUGAACUGGCCUUAAGGAAAUAAGAGAAUUCUUGCCUCCAUGAGCUGAUGGUGGAUGGGGAGGAAAGACAUGGCUACACAAAGUAAUAGCAUUUAGUAAAGUAGUACAUUAUGCAUUGCUAUCAAAUAAUAAACACCAUAGCAGUCAAAGGAGGAUGUGAGCAUGUUUUUCACCCGGGUAGGUGAGGCUUUCUGAAGGAAUUGGGCUGAAGAGUUUCAGCCUUGGCCCAGCAAGAGAACCAAGAUAGGCAAUGAUAUAGACAACACAGGGCAGGCUAGAACAGGG